UGGUAGUGGGGGAUAACGUCCGGAAACGGGCGCUAAUACCGCAUACGUCCUGAGGAGAGAAAGUGGGGGAUCUUCGGACCUCACGCUAUCAGAUGAGCCUAGGUCGGAUUAGCUAGUUGGUGGGGUAAAGGCCUACCAAGGCGACGAUCCGUAACUGGUCUGAGAGGAUGAUCAGUCACACUGGAACUGAGACACGGUCCAGACUCCUACGGGAGGCAGCAGUGGGGAAUAUUGGACAAUGGGCGAAAGCCUGAUCCAGCCAUGCCGCGUGCAUCAAGAAGGUCUUCGGAUUGUAAAGCACUUUAAGUUGGGAGGAAGGGCAGUAAGUUAAUACCUUGCUGUUUUGACGUUACCAACAGAAUAAGCACCGGCUAACUUCGUGCCAGCAGCCGCGGUAAUACGAAGGGUGCAAGCGUUAAUCGGAAUUACUGGGCGUAAAGCGCGCGUAGGUGGUUCAGCAAGUUGGAUGUGAAAUCCCCGGGCUCAACCUGGGAACUGCAUCCAAAACUACUGAGCUAGAGUACGGUAGAGGGUGGUGGAAUUUCCUGUGUAGCGGUGAAAUGCGUAGAUAUAGGAAGGAACACCAGUGGCGAAGGC
rnacentral:rRNA from 1 species